GACGAACGCUGGCGGCGUGCUUAACACAUGCAAGUCGAGCGGUAAGGCCCUUUCGGGGGUACGACGAGCGGCGAACGGGUGAGUAACGCGUGGGUGACCUGCCUCUAGCUCUGGGAUAAGCCCGGGAAACUGGGUCUAAUACUGGAUAUGACUCCAUGACGCAUGUUGUGGGGUGGAAAGCCUUGUGCGGCUAGAGAUGGGCCCGCGGCCUAUCAGCUUGUUGGUGGGGUGAUGGCCUACCAAGGCGACGACGGGUAGCCGGCCUGAGAGGGCGACCGGCCACACUGGGACUGAGAUACGGCCCAGACUCCUACGGGAGGCAGCAGUGGGGAAUCUUGCGCAAUGGGCGAAAGCCUGACGCAGCGACGCCGCGUGAGGGAUGACGGCCUGGU
rnacentral:rRNA from 1 species